UACGUAGGGUCCGAGCGUUGUCCGGAUUUAUUGGGCGUAAAGCGCACGCAGGCGGUCUCUUAAGUUUUGAGUGACAGGUGGUGGCUCAACUACCACAGGCCUUGGAAAACUGGGAGACUUGAGGACUUCAGAGGGAUGCGGAAUUCCAGGUGGAGCGGUGAAAUGCGUAGAGAUCUGGAAGAACACCAAAGGCGAAGGCAGCAUCCUGGACCGGCAUUGACGCUGAGGCGCGAAAGCCAGGGGAGCAAACGGG
rnacentral:rRNA from 1 species